CGCGUAGGCGGACCGAUAAGUCGGGUGUGAAAACUGGCGGCUCAACUGCCAGCCUGCAUUCGAUACUGCCGGUCUUGAGUACAGGAGAGGAAAGCGGAAUUCCAGGUGUAGCGGUGAAAUGCGUAGAUAUCUGGAAGAACACCAGUAGCGAAGGCGGCUUUCUGGACUGAUACUGACGCUGAAGCGCGAAGGCUAGGGGAGCAAACAGGAUUAGAUACCCUGGUAGUCC
rnacentral:rRNA from 1 species